GACAGAGGUGCCGAGCGUUAGGCGGAAUCACUGGGCUUAAAGCGUGUGUAGGCGUGCCGUUAAGUAUCUUGUGAAAUCCCCCGGCUCAACCGGGGAAUGGCUGGAUAUACUGGCGGUCUUGAGCAAUUCAGGGGCAGAUGGAACAGACGGUGGAGCGGUGAAAUGCGUAGAUAUCGUCUGGAACGCCAAAGGUGAAGACAGUCUGCUGGGAAUUUGCUGACGCUGAGACACGAAAGCCAGGGGAGCGAACGGG
rnacentral:rRNA from 1 species